rnacentral:misc_RNA from 1 species
GAUGAAGAACGCAGCGAAAUGCGAUAAGUAAUGUGAAUUGCAGAAUUCAGUGAAUCAUCGAAUCUUUGAACGCACAUUGCGCCCCCUGGUAUUCCGGGGGGCAUGCCUGUCCGAGCGUCAUUACAACCCUCAAGCUCAGCUUGGUGUUGGGCCCCGCCGCCCCGGCGGGCCCUAAAGUCAGUGGCGGUGCCGUCCGGCUCCGAGCGUAGUAAUUCUUCUCGCUCUGGAGGUCCGGUCGUGUGCUCGCCAGCAACCCCCAAUUUUUAUCAGGUUGACCUCGGAUCAGGUAGGGAUACCCGCUGAACUUAAGCAUAUCAAUAAGCGGAGGA